rnacentral:misc_RNA from 1 species
GAAAUGCGAUAAGUAGUGUGAAUUGCAGAAUUCAGUGAAUCAUCGAAUCUUUGAACGCACAUUGCGCCCCUUGGUAUUCCAUGGGGCAUGCCUGUUCGAGCGUCAUUUGUACCCUCAAGCUCUGCUUGGUGUUGGGUGUUUGUCCCGUCUCCGCGUGUGGACUCGCCCCAAAGUGAUUGGCAGCCGGCGUACUGGUCCCGGAGCGCAGCACAUGUCGCGCAAACGAGUGCCUUGGUACGGCGGCGUCCAUAAGCCCCUCUCUCACGCUCUUGACCUCGGAUCAGGUAGGGAUACCCGCUGAACUUAAGC